CCGUGCUAGAUGGGGAGGUAGCGGUGCCCUGUAACUCGCAACCCGCUGUAGCGAGAUUGAAUUCCUGUUAGCGGUGCCGUCGAUGUGAGGUUUGGUCCCUGUGGGCUGUGUUGACGGUUGGGUCCUCCGCAAUGAGCGCUUGUGAACCUGGUCAGGUCCGGAAGGAAGCAGCCAUAAGCGAGUUUGCUCUUGUGCCGGAGGGUGGCCUAGCCCGAGCAGUUCCGCAGGAUUGCCGCUCGGAUCGCGGUCAUCAAUAACAGGUGCACGG
rnacentral:SRP_RNA from 1 species